UUAAGCGACUAAGCGUACACGGUGGAUGCCCUGGCAGUCAGAGGCGAUGAAGGACGUGCUAAUCUGCGAAAAGCGUCGGUAAGGUGAUAUGAACCGUUAUAACCGGCGAUGUCCGAAUGGGGAAACCCAGUGUGAUUCGUCACACUAUCGUUAACUGAAUACAUAGGUUAACGAGGCGAACCGGGGGAACUGAAACAUCUAAGUACCCCGAGGAAAAGAAAUCAACCGAGAUUCCCCCAGUAGCGGCGAGCGAACGGGGAGCAGCCCAGAGUCUGAAUCAGCUUGUGUGUUAGUGGAACGGUCUGGAAAGUCCGACGGUACAGGGUGAUAGUCCCGUACACCAAAAUGCACAGGUUGUGAACUCGAAGAGUAGGGCGGGACACGUGGUAUCCUGUCUGAAUAUGGGGGGACCAUCCUCCAAGGCUAAAUACUCCUGACUGACCGAUAGUGAACCAGUACCGUGAGGGAAAGGCGAAAAGAACCCCGGCGAGGGGAGUGAAAAAGAACCUGAAACCGUGUACGUACAAGCAGUGGGAGCACCUUCGGGUGUGACUGCGUACCUUUUGUAUAAUGGGUCAGCGACUUAUAUUCUGUAGCAAGGUUAACCGUAUAGGGGAGCCGCAGGGAAACCGAGUCUUAACUGGGCGUUAAGUUGCAGGGUAUAGACCCGAAACCCGGUGAUCUAGCCAUGGGCAGGUUGAAGGUUGGGUAACACUAACUGGAGGACCGAACCGACUAAUGUUGAAAAAUUAGCGGAUGACUUGUGGCUGGGGGUGAAAGGCCAAUCAAACCGGGAGAUAGCUGGUUCUCCCCGAAAGCUAUUUAGGUAGCGCCUCGUGAAUUCAUCUUCGGGGGUAGAGCACUGUUUCGGCUAGGGGGUCAUCCCGACUUACCAACCCGAUGCAAACUACGAAUACCGAAGAAUGUUAUCACGGGAGACACACGGCGGGUGCUAACGUCCGUCGUGAAGAGGGAAACAACCCAGACCGCCAGCUAAGGUCCCAAAGUCAUGGUUAAGUGGGAAACGAUGUGGGAAGGCACAGACAGCCAGGAUGUUGGCUUAGAAGCAGCCAUCAUUUAAAGAAAGCGUAAUAGCUCACUGGUCGAGUCGGCCUGCGCGGAAGAUGUAACGGGGCUAAACCAUGCACCGAAGCUGCGGCAGCGACACUAUGUGUUGUUGGGUAGGGGAGCGUUCUGUAAGCCUGCGAAGGUGUGCUGUGAGGCAUGCUGGAGGUAUCAGAAGUGCGAAUGCUGACAUAAGUAACGAUAAAGCGGGUGAAAAGCCCGCUCGCCGGAAGACCAAGGGUUCCUGUCCAACGUUAAUCGGGGCAGGGUGAGUCGACCCCUAAGGCGAGGCCGAAAGGCGUAGUCGAUGGGAAACAGGUUAAUAUUCCUGUACUUGGUGUUACUGCGAAGGGGGGACGGAGAAGGCUAUGUUAGCCGGGCGACGGUUGUCCCGGUUUAAGCAUGUAGGCUGGUUAUCCAGGCAAAUCCGGAUAAUCAAGGCUGAGGUGUGAUGACGAGGCACUACGGUGCUGAAGUAACAAAUGCCCUGCUUCCAGGAAAAGCCUCUAAGCAUCAGGUAACAUCAAAUCGUACCCCAAACCGACACAGGUGGUCAGGUAGAGAAUACCAAGGCGCUUGAGAGAACUCGGGUGAAGGAACUAGGCAAAAUGGUGCCGUAACUUCGGGAGAAGGCACGCUGGUGUGUAGGUGAAGCCCCUGCGGGUGGAGCUGAGACCAGUCGAAGAUACCAGCUGGCUGCAACUGUUUAUUAAAAACACAGCACUGUGCAAACACGAAAGUGGACGUAUACGGUGUGACGCCUGCCCGGUGCCGGAAGGUUAAUUGAUGGGGUUAUCCGUAAGGAGAAGCUCUUGAUCGAAGCCCCGGUAAACGGCGGCCGUAACUAUAACGGUCCUAAGGUAGCGAAAUUCCUUGUCGGGUAAGUUCCGACCUGCACGAAUGGCGUAAUGAUGGCCAGGCUGUCUCCACCCGAGACUCAGUGAAAUUGAACUCGCUGUGAAGAUGCAGUGUACCCGCGGCAAGACGGAAAGACCCCGUGAACCUUUACUAUAGCUUGACACUGAACAUUGAGCCUUGAUGUGUAGGAUAGGUGGGAGGCUUUGAAGCGUGGACGCCAGUCUGCGUGGAGCCAACCUUGAAAUACCACCCUUUAAUGUUUGAUGUUCUAACGUUGGCCCCUUACCGGGGUUGCGGACAGUGUCUGGUGGGUAGUUUGACUGGGGCGGUCUCCUCCCAAAGCGUAACGGAGGAGCACGAAGGUUAGCUAAUCCUGGUCGGACAUCAGGAGGUUAGUGCAAUGGCAUAAGCUAGCUUGACUGCGAGCGUGACGGCGCGAGCAGGUGCGAAAGCAGGUCAUAGUGAUCCGGUGGUUCUGAAUGGAAGGGCCAUCGCUCAACGGAUAAAAGGUACUCCGGGAUAACAGGCUGAUACCGCCCAAGAGUUCAUAUCGACGGCGGUGUUUGGCACCUCGAUGUCGGCUCAUCACAUCCUGGGGCUGAAGUAGGUCCCAAGGGUAUGGCUGUUCGCCAUUUAAAGUGGUACGCGAGCUGGGUUUAGAACGUCGUGAGACAGUUCGGUCCCUAUCUGCCGUGGGCGCUGGAGAAUUGAGGGGGGCUGCUCCUAGUACGAGAGGACCGGAGUGGACGCAUCACUGGUGUUCGGGUUGUCAUGCCAAUGGCACUGCCCGGUAGCUAAAUGCGGAAGAGAUAAGUGCUGAAAGCAUCUAAGCACGAAACUUGCCCCGAGAUGAGUUCUCCCUGAGACUUUAAGUCUCCUGAAGGAACGUUAAAGACGAUGACGUUGAUAGGCCGGGUGUGUAAGCGCAGCGAUGCGUUGAGCUAACCGGUACUAAUGAACCGUGAGGCUUAACCUU
rnacentral:rRNA from 1 species